CCCUUAGAUGUUCUGGGCCGCACGCGCGCUACAAUGAUGAAUUCAACGAGUUUAUAACCUUGGUUGAAAAGCCUGGGUAAUCUUUUGAACUUUCGUCGUGAUGGGGCUAGACCCUUGCAAUUAUUGGUCUCCAACGAGGAAUUCCUAGUAAACGCAAGUCAUCAGCUUGCAUUGAUUACGUCCCUGCCCUUUGUACACACCGCCCGUCGCACCUACCGAUUGAAUGGUCCGGUGAAGCGUUUGGACUAUGGUUUUCUGACGGUUCGCCAUUGGAUUACCGUGGGAAAUUCGUUAAACCUUAUCAUUUAGAGGAAGGAGAAGUCGUAACA
rnacentral:rRNA from 1 species